CUGUAGUCUAAUCAGGAAGCAUAAUGGACCCAAAUCUCACAAAGGGAGUCCCUUCCUUCUCUCACUGUCUCUGCCCUAAAUGGUACUGUUGAGGUAAGAGGUAGAGCAGGACAAAUAAUAAGAAACAUAGGACAAGAGUUGAGAAAUGAGACAGAGCAGGGGCAACUAUCUCAGAACAUCAGGAACCCAACAGAUUGAGCUCCUCCUGUCUCUCAAAGACUCCAGAGGUGCACACAGCCAAACUACAUGACCCUGGACAGUGUCCGGCCUCAUUUGCAUUGCAGCUUUGACUCCCCACCCACACACUUUUCCCGUGGGAUUUGGAUGCCAUGAACCAAGGGACCUCCUCUAAAAACUGUGUGGUCAAAAAGUUCCCCUCCUGAAGGUGGGCCCAGUCAGGUAUACCAGCUGGCUGUAAAUUCUAUCAGUGUUCCUUUGUAGGUCCUCUCACAAUCCCAGGCUUUUAAGAGACCCCGUGUCUGUCCCUGUUGGGGCCAAGAGCUCUUUUCACUGGCCCACAUCCACCCUGUGGAGUGUAUUUUCAUUUCUUUUGCUUUUCAUAAUUCUUACUGUUUUUACUCCUGAAUAUCCCACUCAAUUCUUUGUUUGGGAUACCAAGAACCUGAAAACAACCCCCCUGAGACCCUCCAUCCAGGAAUACAGUUUCCACUACAACAGAAGCUCAGAGCUCUGUAGGCUGAAGGUCACCAAGGCCUGGAAUAAGCACACAGAGGGAGAUUGAUGGGAAGAUUAUUUAAAACAAAAUGAGGCCCAGUGCUCCAAAAAGUGAGCUUUGGGAAGCAGGUGUACUGAGGAGAUGGCCAAGUGGCUGAGCUAGGUGAAACCCAGGCCCAAUUCAUACAAAUGAGAUUCCUGCAGAUGGUCUUUAUUCUCAAAGCACACAGGACUGGCUCAGGGACUCAGGUGCAUCUGGGGCAGAGCUGUUGCUGGGCUUGGAACACAGACAAGGUGGAACCUUGGUCAGGGUUGGAUCCCAUCAAGAAUGAGGCUGAGUGUUCCAUACCAACACCUUCUAUCCACUCACCUGAGAACAGGAAGGAAGGCCGGACUGAAAUGAGCAGACAACUUACCCUUACCCAAGGAACUACAAGGAAAGAAGAUCUAACAGGUAUAGAGAGUAUUGGCAAAUGA
rnacentral:lncRNA from 1 species